rnacentral:rRNA from 1 species
AGAGUUUGAUCCUGGCUCAGGACGAACGCUGGCGGCGUGCCUAACACAUGCAAGUCGAACGGAGAAUUUUAUUUCGGUAGAAUUCUUAGUGGCGAACGGGUGAGUAACGCGUAGGCAACCUACCCUUUAGACGGGGACAACAUUCCGAAAGGAGUGCUAAUACCGGAUGUGAUCAUCGUGCCGCAUGGCAGGAUGAAGAAAGAUGGCCUCUACAAGUAAGCUAUCGCUAAAGGAUGGGCCUGCGUCUGAUUAGCUAGUUGGUAGUGUAACGGACUACCAAGGCGAUGAUCAGUAGCCGGUCUGAGAGGAUGAACGGCCACAUUGGGACUGAGACACGGCCCAAACUCCUACGGGAGGCAGCAGUGGGGAAUCUUCCGCAAUGGACGAAAGUCUGACGGAGCAACGCCGCGUGAGUGAUGAAGGAUUUCGGUCUGUAAAGCUCUGUUGUUUAUGACGAACGUGCAGUGUGUGAACAAUGCAUUGCAAUGACGGUAGUAAACGAGGAAGCCACGGCUAACUACGUGCCAGCAGCCGCGGUAAUACGUAGGUGGCGAGCGUUGUCCGGAAUUAUUGGGCGUAAAGAGCAUGUAGGCGGCUUAAUAAGUCGAGCGUGAAAAUGCGGGGCUCAACCCCGUAUGGCGCUGGAAACUGUUAGGCUUGAGUGCAGGAGAGGAAAGGGGAAUUCCCAGUGUAGCGGUGAAAUGCGUAGAUAUUGGGAGGAACACCAGUGGCGAAGGCGCCUUUCUGGACUGUGUCUGACGCUGAGAUGCGAAAGCCAGGGUAGCGAACGGGAUUAGAUACCCCGGUAGUCCUGGCCGUAAACGAUGGGU